UACGGGGGGGGCUAGCGUUGUUCGGAAUUAUUGGGCGUAAAGAGCAUGUAGGCGGUUUAGUAAGUUAGAAGUGAAAUACCAGGGCUUAACCUUGGAACUGCUUUUAAAACUACUAAGCUAGAGAUCGAAAGAGGAUAGUGGAAUUCCUAGUGUAGAGGUGAAAUUCGUAAAUAUUAGGAGGAACAUCGGUGGCGAAGGCGACUAUCUGGGUCGAUACUGACGCUGAGAUGCGAAAGCGUGGGGAGCAAACAGG
rnacentral:rRNA from 1 species